ensembl:lncRNA
GAUGGGACGCCCACCUCGGGGCUGGAGCGGGCGCGGCUCUCUGGGCUCCGCAGGUCCGCGCGCGAGCUGAGCUGCCUGGAGCCGGCGGCCUCCACCGCUUUCCGCGCGCCGCUCCCGGCGGAGACGAAUCCCUCUUCGUUCGUUCCCUUUCUUUCUUUUCUUUCUUUCAUUAAGCUUCUCGGUGCUCUUUAGGUGUGCAGUGCCGUUACAUCGCCGCUGGGAUCCUGCACCUGUACGUGACGAAUCUUGCUUCUUAUUUUCCCCCUUCCCUGGCCUCCCUUCACCCCCUCCACCCCCCGUUUACAGAGACCUUGCUUCCAGUUUUUCCUUUUCUCAUACUUUUUCCUUUCCCUUCUUUCCUUCGCCCUUCCCCUUCAGACGUUUUCUUCCUAUUUCGCAUUAUCAAUCUUCACUCUUUUCUUCUGAAAGCAGGGCUUCUGCUAACGUUUUCCUGGGUCGUUUGCCCCUGCCUCACGAGCCCCGGGGGCAGGACAGCCCUGCAGUGGGCUGGGCUGCGCUGUCUCGAGUCUCCUCCCCGCCUUGUGCAGGUCUGGGUACCGCGCAGGGCAGCGCCUGCUCCCGUCUGCAGAGCAGUGCAUUUUGAUUUGUGAUAUUCAUAGGCAAAGAGCCCUGACGUCCAGGAGGCCGCCCUGCUGACUUCAAAGGAGUGCGAGCCAGGCCAGCCCUGCCCGGGGCUCCUCGAGACUUGACUGGGGCUCCACAUCCCUUCCCUCCCACAGCCUCUGUUCCCUGGGCUCUUCUGCCCGACUGGUCAUGUCAGUGUGGGUGCUGGAGGAGGCAUCGCUAUACCUAGGCAAGGAGCCACACGAAGCUCUCAGUCAAGAAUUAGCUCUGUUAUCUGUUUUCUCCGCGUCUGCGACACUUUCUGCUGCCUGAGAUAAGCCAUUGGACUUCCUACCCAGAGCCUGUUUGGGGACCAGCACCGAGUGGAGACCCAGCAGCUGUCCUGAUGGGGCGAGGCCUCUGAUUUGUGGGUGUGAGAAGCUGUUACACACACGUCGCUCACCCUCAGCAAGCAGACAGAAGCUAAUGGCAGACAUUUAGUAUAUUUGAUUCAUUUUUUGUUCUAUUUCAUGUUUUCACCCUUAUUUUCACCUUGCCAUGUUCUUCUCACCUGUGUUCGAUGUGCUUUUCUUAUUAAAUGCAUCUCUAUGAGCC